ACCCAGUUGAUCAAGAUGCACAAUGAGGAUCGUAUCCAUACAAUUUUACACUUCUCGACAAAUAUAAUCUGUUUCGUUAUUCUAAGUGGUUAUUCUAUUCUAGGUAAUGAAGAACUUGUUAUUCUUAACUCUUGGGUUCAAGAAUUCCUAUAUAACUUAAGCGACACAAUAAAAGCUUUUUCUAUUCUUUUAUUAACUGAUUUAUGUAUAGGAUUCCAUUCGCCCCACGGUUGGGAAUUAAUGAUUGGCUCUGUCUACAAAGAUUUUGGAUUUGCUCAUAAUGAUCAAAUUAUAUCCGGUCUUGUUUCUACUUUUCCAGUCAUUUUAGAUACAAUUUUUAAAUAUUGGAUCUUUCGUUAUUUAAAUCGUGUAUCUCCGAUCAAUGAUUGGACCAUGCUAAACUAAAAAAACCUUUUCGUCGAUAAAGAAAGAGAUUACUCGAUCCAUUUCCCUAUCGCUCAUCAUAUAUAUAAUAACUCAGGCACCCAUUUCAAAUGCCUAUCCCGUUUUUGCACAGCAGGGUUAUGAAAAUCCACGAGAAGCAACGGGCCGUAUUGUAUGUGCCAAUUGCCAUUUAGCUAAUAAACCCGUGGAUAUCGAGGUUCCACAAGCGGUACUUCCGGAUACUGUAUUUGAAGCAGUUGUUCGAAUUCCCUAUGAUCUGCAAGUGAAACAAGUUCUUGCUAAUGGUAAAAAAGGAGCUUUAAAUGUGGGGGCUGUUCUUAUUUUACCCGAGGGAUUUGAACUAGCCCCGCCCGAUCGUAUUUCGCCCGAGAUUAAAGAAAAGAUAGGAAAUCUGUCUUUUCAAAGUUACCGCCCUACUAAAAAAAUAUUCUUGUGAUAGGUCCUGUUCCUGGUCAGAAAUAUAGUGAAAUCACCUUU